UUGCAUCUUCAGUAGGACGGCCAAAGUCUACCAAUGAAAUCAUCCUGAUCAUCGGAGAUUAAAGGUUCAAGUCAGACCAGUCUUGAUGCCAGCAGUUGAGCUUUAUUUUGGUUACAGCUCCAUCUAGUGGAGCAGAGAGGAACUCCCCGACAUGCCCAAUGGACCGUAUGCAGCACAGCGAGCAGCUCAGAGGGCGAGAGAGUGAGGAAUCAGAGAGCGAGGAAUCAGAGAGCGAGAGAUCGGGGCGAAGCCUCCACUGAGCGGCUCCGAUGUUCACGCUUCUCCUCAGCGACCUGACAGAGCAGCUCAGCAUCAAACCAAAACCCAGCAGAUACGAAGGAGUCUGGAGGAAAACCACCAGAAACUGAGCAAGAGCAGCAUCCAAACCUCUAGAUCCUCCACAAACACAACCACCAUGGCAGAGGUCACACAGGAAGUCGAGCAGAGAAGCAUCGUCCUCCAGCGUGUCCUCUGGGUCUCGUCCCGCUGCGACGGGGCCAGAGAGUCACCAGUUCACCCUCACCAGUUCAUCAUCACCAGUUCACCCUCACCAGUUCAUCAUCACCAGUUCAUCAUCACCAGUUCAUCCUCACCAGUUCAUCAUCACCAGUUCACCCUCACCAGUUCAUCAUCACCAGUUCAUCAUCACCAGUUCACCCUCACCAGUUCAUCCUCACCAGUUCAUCCUCACCAGUUCAUCCUCAGCUGUAUCGUCUCCAUGUGAAAGAGCAAUGGCUGUAGAGUGAGGAUGACUGAGUUCAUCUUUCUGCCUCUAAUGGAGAGAAACUCAUGUUUUGUAUCCAGGUUCUGGUUCUUUCAGUCCCGACCUGAAGCUCGUCAGCAGGAUGAAGGUCGGAUCGACUCUCUCUCUUCACCACUUCACCAAUCGCAUCAGAUGUUUGCAGAUGUUGCACCAAUCAUCUAUCGAUCGUCUUCAUACAUGAACAAAACCCCAAAGAACUUUGCUUUUCCGCCUGACAGUCUGAUGGACUCGCUUCACUGGGAACAAACAUUAGUUACCUUCAUGGAUGCGGCGUCAGUCAGAGCGGCCGCCUGUCUGUUCAGCUGCGACGCCAUGAUGUGGCAGCGCUGACACAGCCUCAGCUUCUCCUCCUCCGGCUUGCCGUAGCUGCUCAGCUCGCCGGCUGACAGGGACCCUUCUGGGUUGGGCCGCCGGGCGCAGCUCCUCCGGGCCUCGUCCUCCUCGCCUCCUGAUGAACGCAGGCGUUUCCUGUGACAUGUGGAGCCCAGAGGCAGAGCAGUCUGCCCCUCCACCACCUGUUGCUAGAGACCAGGACAGGGUUCAGACAGUCUAGUGGACACAGUCACCUGCCAAAACUUGA